UAGGGAAUCUUCCACAAUGGACGCAAGUCUGAUGGAGCAACGCCGCGUGAGUGAAGAAGGGUUUCGGCUCGUAAAAGCUCUGUUGUUAAAGAAGAACACGUAUGAGAGUAACUGUUCAUACGUUGACGGUAUUUAACCAGAAAGUCACGGCUAACUACGUCCCAG
rnacentral:rRNA from 1 species